UCCUACGGGGGGCAGCAGUGGGGAAUAUUGCGCAAUGGGGGAAACCCUGACGCAGCAACGCCGCGUGAAGGAUGAAGGUUUUCGGAUUGUAAACUUCUUUGACAGGGGACGAAGAAUGACGGUACCCUGAAAACAAGCCACGGCUAACUACGUGCCAGCAGCCGCGGUAAUACGUAGGUGGCGAGCGUUGUCCGGAAUUACUGGGUGUAAAGGGCGUGUAGGCGGGGAAGCAAGUCAGAUGUGAAAUCCCGGAGCUUAACUCCGGAGCUGCAUCUGAAACUGCAUCUCUUGAGUGCUGGAGAGGAAAGCGGAAUUCCCAGUGUAGCGGUGAAAUGCGUAGAUAUUGGGAGGAACACCAGUGGCGAAGGCGGCUUUCUGGACAGUAACUGACGCUGAGGCGCGAAAGCGUGGGGAGCAAACAGGAUUAGAUACCCCCGUAGUCCG
rnacentral:rRNA from 1 species